AAUGAACGCUGGCGGCGCGCCUAAUACAUGCAAGUCGAGCGAGAAGACGUAGCAAUACGUUUGUAAAGCGGCGAACGGGUGAGGAAUACAUGGGUAACCUACCCUCGAGUGGGGAAUAACUAGCCGAAAGGUUAGCUAAUACCGCGUACGCUCCUUGGACUUCGGUUCAGGGAGGAAAGCGAUACCGUGGGUAUCGCGCUCUUGGUUGGGCUCAUGUCCUAUCAGCUUGUUGGUGAGGUAACGGCUCACCAAGGCUUCGACGGGUAGCUGGUCUGAGAGGACGAUCAGCCACACUGGCACUGCGACACGGGCCAGACUCCUACGGGAGGCAGCAGUAAGGAAUAUUGCGCAAUGGGCGAAAGCCUGACGCAG
rnacentral:rRNA from 1 species